AGGGCAACUUCUGCGCAGGCGCGGCCCGCGGGUGAGGGCGCUGGGCCUGGAGGGAGGAAAAGGAAGAGUCGCGAGGGAAGGAAGCGGCGGGGGCGCGCUGUGCGCGGCCGCGCUCAGUGUUUCGGUCCGGUCGGAGCGUGUGGUGGCGUCGCCGUUUCUCUGAUUUAUUAAAAAUUGGCAUUGGUUUGCUGACAAGGUAUCUUAGUCUGGGCUUCUCCAGAAGCAGACUCUGAAUAAGACUUGAGUGGUUUUCCUGGACUUCACAAUUAAUUUGAAUGCAAACUCUAAAUCAGGAUAAAGGUACAUUUGGUGAGUAGAUUGUAUGUGUCAUUUCUUUCACAAGGACCUUCAAGUGUCAGUUUUAUGUACUGGUAUCAUUUAAUUUUUCACAUUAUGCAGGCCAAGACCUUGUCCUGUAUCCUCAUAUAUUUUUU